AUGAACGCUGGCGGCGUGCCUAAUACAUGCAAGUCGAGCGAACAGACGAGGAGCUUGCUCCUCUGACGUUAGCGGCGGACGGGUGAGUAACACGUGGAUAACCUACCUAUAAGACUGGGAUAACUUCGGGAAACCGGAGCUAAUACCGGAUAAUAUAUUGAACCGCAUGGUUCAAUAGUGAAAGACGGUUUUGCUGUUACUUAUAGAUGGAUCCGCGCCGCAUUAGCUAGUUGGUAAGGUAACGGCUUACCAAGGCGACGAUGCGUAGCCGACCUGAGAGGGUGAUCGGCCACACUGGAACUGAGACACGGUCCAGACUCCUACGGGAGGCAGCAGUAGGGAAUCUUCCGCAAUGGGCGAAAGCCUGACGGAGCAACGCCGCGUGAGUGAUGAAGGUCUUCGGAUCGUAAAACUCUGUUAUUAGGGAAGAACAAAUGUGUAAGUAACUAUGCACGUCUUGACGGUACCUAAUCAGAAAGCCACGGCUAACUACGUG
rnacentral:rRNA from 1 species